rnacentral:rRNA from 1 species
CCUACGGGUGGCUGCAGUGGGGAAUAUUGCACAAUGGGGGAAACCCUGAUGCAGCGACGCCGCGUGAGCGAUGAAGUAUUUCGGUAUGUAAAGCUCUAUCAGCAGGGAAGAAAAUGACGGUACCUGACUAAGAAGCCCCGGCUAACUACGUGCCCGCAGCCGCGGUAAUACGUAUGGUGCAAGCGUUAUCCGGAUUUACUGGGUGUAAAGGGAGCGCAGGCGGCACGGCAAGCCUGAUGUGAAAGCCCGCGGCCCAACCGCGGGACUGCAUUGGGAACUACCGGGCUGGAGUGCCGGAGAGGUAGGCGGAAUGCGUGGUGUAGCGGUGAAAUGCGUAGAUAUUAGGAGGAACACCAGUGGCGAAGGCGGCCUACUGGACGGUGACUGACGCUGAGGCUCGAAAGCGUGGGGAGCAAACAGGAUUAGAUACCCCUGUAGUC